UUUUUCACUGGCACUCAAAAUUAAAGCAGAACAGCAAAAUAAUACAUGAAUGUCCCAACUGCCUGUGUCACCUCAGAUCCAGGCGAAAU